GAUGAACGCUGGCGGCGUGCCUAAUACAUGCAAGUCGAGCGAAUGGAUUAAGAGCUUGCUCUUAUGAAGUUAGCGGCGGAUGUGUGAGUAACACGUGGGUAACCUGCCCAUAAGACUGGGAUAACUCCGGGAAACCGGGGCUAAUACCGGAUAAUAUUUUGAACUGCAUGGUUCAAAAUUGAACGGCGGCUUCGGCUGUCACUUAUGGAUGGACCCGCGUCGCAUUAGGUAGUUGGUGAGGUAACGGCUCACAAAUGCAACGAUAGGUAGCCGAACUGAGAGGGUGAGCGGCCACACUGGGACUGAGACACGGACAAGACUCCUACGGGAGGCAGCAGUAGGGAAUCUUCGGCAAUGUAAGAAAGUCGGACGGAGCAACGCCGCAUGAGUGAUGAAGGCUUUCGGGUCGUAAAACACUGUUGUUAGGGAAGAACGAGUGCUAGUUGAAUAAGCUGGCACCUUGACGGUACCUUACCAGAAAGCCACGGCUAACUACGUGCCAGCAGCCGCAGUAA
rnacentral:rRNA from 1 species